rnacentral:misc_RNA from 1 species
UCCGAGUUGACCCCGGCAGUCUCCCAUGAGUCCCCGCCAUUACGCGCUGGCAACAUGGAACGAGGGUUGCGCUCGCUGCGGGACUUAACCCAACAUCUCACGACACGAGCUGACGACAACCAUGCACCACCUGUGCACAGGCCCCGAAGGGCUGCCGUGUUUCCACGACAUUCCUGUGCAUGUCGAGCCCUGGUAAGGUUCUUCGCGUCGCGUCGAAUUAAUCCACAUGCUCCGCUGCUUGUGCGGGCCCCCGUCAAUUCCUUUGAGUUUUAGCCUUGCGGCCGUACUCCCCAGGCGGGGAACUUAAUGCGUUAGCGCCGGCACGGGAGGAGUCGACACCUCCCACACCUAGUUCCCAUCGUUUACGGCGUGGACUAC